rnacentral:tRNA from 1 species
GCCCUGGUAGUAUAGUCAGGCCCAGUAUGUUCGGCUGUCACCCGAACGAUCCCGGGUUCGAAUCCCGGCCAGGGCGCCA